CCUACGGGGCGCAGCAGUAGGGAAUCUUCCACAAUGGACGAAAGUCUGAUGGAGCAACGCCGCGUGAGUGAAGAAGGGUUUCGGCUCGUAAAGCUCUGUUGGUAGUGAAGAAAGAUAGAGGUAGUAACUGGCCUUUAUUUGACGGUAAUUACUUAGAAAGUCACGGCUAACUACGUGCCAGCAGCCGCGGUAAUACGUAGGUGGCAAGCGUUGUCCGGAUUUAUUGGGCGUAAAGCGAGUGCAGGCGGUUUCAUAAGGCUUAUGUGCAAGCCGUCGGCUCAAACGG
rnacentral:rRNA from 1 species